AAAAAUGCUACAAGAUAGCAUCCAAAAAGCUUUUCUAGACAUUGGCUUAGGCCAAGUAGUCAUGACUAAUGCCCCAAAAGCAAACGCAAAAAUAUAAAAAUAGAAUAAGAUCAAUAGGACCUAAUGAAACCGAAAAUCUUCUGCAAGGCAGAAGAAAUAUCAGCAGGGUAAACACACAACCCACAGUAUAGGAAACAGUAGUCACAAACUAGGCAUCUGACAAAGGACUAAUGUCCAGACUCCAAAGGAACUGAAAGAAAUCAGCAAGAAGAAAAGGUGCCAUUUACCACCUUCCUGACUCAUUGGCCAGAACCAAUGUUAGUGGAAUUAACAUAUGCCCCACCCCAAGUGACUUCUAAAGGGCUAACUCACCACAAGGGAGUCAGAGCAGAUCUUGGACUGAGACCUACAGGACACAGCGACUCUUAAAUAGGUGGCUCACCAGGAGAAAGGCAUAGCAGAACCUGGACUGAGACCUACGGGAGACAGCAGGCAGACACACAGGAGGUUGGACGUCGAGAGGAGCACAUCAGUGCAAGAACACAUGGGUGGCUGCCACUUCUCUCCCUUUCCUGAGAGGGAAAAACUCUCGACGCUGAGAGGAAUCCACCAACAGGCACCAGCACUCUGGCAGGCCACCGACCAAUGGAUUGACAUAGAGUUUGGCUGGGGCAGCCAGAGGAGAGCCUGGGCCGCUGAAUAACCCGACUUCAGGGGAAAACUAUUCUCCCUUUUGGCUCCCCCAUCUGCUGAGAGCU
rnacentral:lncRNA from 10 species